rnacentral:rRNA from 1 species
GCUUGACUAACACAUGUCAAGUCGAGCGGUAGCAGGCGUAGCAAUACGUGCUGACGAGCGGCGAACGGGUAAGCAAUGCUUCGGAAUCUGCCCAAUGGUGGGGAAUAACCAGCCGAAAGGUUGGCUAAUACCGCAUACGCCCUACGGGGGAAAGCAGGGGAUCGCAAGACCUUGCGCCGAUGGAUGAGCCGAAGUCGGAUUAGCUAGUUGGUAGGGUAACGGCCUACCAAGGCGACGAUCCGUAGCUGGUCUGAGAGGACGACCAGCCACACUGGGACUGAGACACGGCCCAGACUCCUACGGGAGGCAGCAGUGGGGAAUAUUGGACAAUGGGCGAAAGCCUGAUCCAGCGACGCCGCGUGUGUGAAGAAGGCCUGCGGGUUGUAAAGCACUUUUAGUGGGGAUGAAAAGCCUAGAGCUAAUACCUCUGGGUCUUGACCUAACCCACAGAAAAAGCACCGGCUAACUCUGUGCCAGCAGCCGCGGUAAUACAGAGGGUGCGAGCGUUAAUCGGAAUUACUGGGCGUAAAGCGUGCGUAGACGGUUAUUUAAGUCGGGUGUGAAAGCCCCGGGCUCAACCUGGGAAUUGCAUUCGAGACUGGAUAGCUAGGGUACGGUAGAGGGAAGUGGAAUUUCCGGUGUAGCGGUGAAAUGCGUAGAUAUCGGAAGGAACAUCAGUGGCGAAAGCGACUUCCUGGACCAGUACCGACGUUCAGGCACGAAAGCGUGGGGAGCAAACAGGAUUAGAUACCCUGGUAGUCCACGCCAUAAACGAUGAGAACUAGACGUUGGGGGGGGUAAGCCUCUCAGUGUCGCAGCUAACGCGCUAAGUUCUCCGCCCUGGGGAGUACGGCCGCAAGGUUGAAACUCAAAGGGAAAUUGACGG